UGGAGCCAGAUUCGACGACUGUCGAUAAUAGGUCAAGAUUAGAGAUUGACAAGGUCUCUUUUCCCUUUCCUGUUUGUCCAGGCAACUUCAAGUUGUACAAAGAUCUAACAGUGAAGAAUGAUGGAAAAUGUUUGGAGAUUCAACUUGUGGAGCGCAUGCAGAGUUUCGGAUUGCUUCCUAAGAAUAUACAAUGUCUAACAGCAAAACCAGAGUGCGCUGUUGUCAGUAAGCCUGCGAGAGUAGUUGAUAGAGUCCAAUGGGUAUGUGAAGGCUGUAGUAAAAGGCAGCCAAUAAGAACAGGAUCGUUUUUUCUACGAAUACAGUGCUCCCUGCUGCAGGCUCUACAAGUUAUCCUUGCAUGGUGCGAAGAUGCUGACUGUGAAUCAACAGCAAUGCA